UUUCUUUGUCGCUUCUUUAUACAAUCGCCGAUCAAAAUGUAUGGGAUUGACAAUUUUUAUGGCAAGUUCAUAUUAU